AGGGCUUUGGCCCCGGUACAGUGGCGCACGGGUGAGUAACACGUGGGUAACGUUUCCUCAGGCGGGGGAUAACCUUCCGAAAGGAGGGCUAAUACCGCAUAGGACCACGACCUCGCGAGGGGUUGAGGUGAAAGCAGGCCUCUACAUGUAAGCUUGCACCGGAGGAUCGGCCCGCGGCCCAUCAGCUAGUUGGCAGGGUAACAGCCUACCAAGGCUAAGACGGGUAGCUGGUCUGAGAGGAUGAUCAGCCACACUGGAACUGAGACACGGUCCAGACUCCUACGGGAGGCAGCAGUGGGGAAUCUUGCGCAAUGGACGAAAGUCUGACGCAGCGACGCCGCGUGGGUGAUGAAGGCCUUCGGG
rnacentral:rRNA from 1 species